rnacentral:rRNA from 1 species
GACGAACGCUGGCGGCGUGCUUAACACAUGCCAGUCGAACGGAAAGGCCCUGCUUUUGUGGGGUGCUCGAGUGGCGAACGGGUGAGUAACACGUGAGUAACCUGCCCUUGACUUUGGGAUAACUUCAGGAAACUGGGGCUAAUACCGGAUAGGAGCUCCUGCUGCAUGGUGGGGGUUGGAAAGUUUCGGCGGUUGGGGAUGGACUCGCGGCUUAUCAGCUUGUUGGUGGGGUAAUGGCUUACCAAGGCUUUGACGGGUAGCCGGCCUGAGAGGGUGACCGGCCACAUUGGGACUGAGAUACGGCCCAGACUCCUACGGGAGGCAGCAGUGGGGAAUAUUGCACAAUGGGCGGAAGCCUGAUGCAGCAACGCCGCGUGCGGGAUGACGGCCUUCGGGUUGUAAACCGCUUUCGCCUGUGACGAAGCGUGAGUGACGGUAAUGGGUAAAGAGGCACCGGCUAACUACGUG